rnacentral:misc_RNA from 1 species
UACUUUGAAUUUUGAUAGAAGGUCAGCAGCUCUGGUAGUCAGGAUAUCCGAAAGCCAAAGCUGCCAGCUCGACAUCAGGUACUAGUGAAUAUCUCCACCGCUGCAGGAGUUCAUCUGCGAUGACAGUUAAAUGUACCGUACUUUCCUUAAAUUUGGAUCAUGUAGGCAGCUGGUCACUUACGCUUCAUUCUCUUCCAAUCUGUAGGUCGUUUGAGCGAAUCAAGGUGGAGAUGUGUUGUGUAAUUGCAAGAUGAACUUGGGUUUUACUUGUCAAUUUAGAAGACCAGAGAACUGCUGCAGACAGACCGGUAGCUGGCAAAGCGGUAGGAAACGACCGCUGGCCAAGCGCAAGCCUUGUCCAUCAGCAUCUUAAAAGAACUCUUUGUCUCCGGCAACGAUUGUCCGAGAUUUACGCUCCUACGCGUUUGCACGAUGACGCCACGCUCCCCGCUGUUAUUAUUAUUCGUUCAGAUACGCCGGAGCGAUAUUUCCGCGACGCGUCAGAGCGACGGCUAAUUUCGUCCUCGACGUCGUCCGCGGACGUCGGUGUGUGCGUGUGCGUGCGCGUGUACAAGUGUCGAGAGAAUCGAGUUCCACCUGCACACACGAAUCAACGCUAGGGAGAAAACGG